AGAGAGAGAGAGAGAGAGAGAGAGAGAGAGAGAGAGAGAGAGAGAGAGAGAGAGAAUUUCCUAAAAAGCAUUAACAUCUUUCCUUUCGGUAGAUAAGGGGAUUGUCCUCUCUUCUUCGAUGGGCACAAAGUUCUGUGAUGAUUUACAGAACUGCUGUUACCCAAAGCCCAAGUUCACACAUAGGAUCUGUAUCACACUCUGAACCUAUAGCAGGCAGAUUAUAGUCUGCCUAAUUGUCUUUAUCCCUUUGAGAACCAAGAUUGAGAAUGCUUUCCCAUAGCAAAGUGCUCGACAAAGGACAGAAGCAUGUGUGGUCUUGGUGACUGGGGCAGCUUUCAAAGUCUACCUCUGGCAAAGUAAGGCACAGGAAUGAAAACCGAAACAAACUAAUCCUGUUACGAUAAAGCACAAGGGGGACCCUGGCGGAUUCCAUGACAGGCAAGGGUGACCGAAGCGGAGGGACAAACAUGCCAGGCAGCCAGAGCUUAAGUGGGAAGAUUUUUUUCCAGAAAGGGAAAGGGAGCGGGGGAGAAAACAGAGGUAAAGAGACAGAGAGACAGAGAGAUGACAGGAUGAAGAGGGAGACAGGAAAAGUCCUGUUGCCCCAGGGGAAUAGCAGGAAAGAGAUCGGGAAAGAGAGGAGCUGGAAGAAGCGUAAGUGAGCAGACAUCUUUCUUUUAAAGGGGUUCUUUGCACCUGGGCUGACCAAGGUACUGCCUGAAUGCAUUCUGCCAGGUGGCAGGGGCAGGCCAGCAUAAUACCUGAAUCUUUAUAAAUCACCCUAAGGUGUUGCUUUUGCCAAGGCCAAAACCUAAAUCCAACUUUUAGUUGUCCCCGAGGGCUGAACACAACAUUUACCACUGUAUCCAUUGAGGCCGCGUUCACGGCUCUGACGUCAACUCUUUCUGUGCAGUGUGUUCUCCACAGGAUCUCCUUCUCACUACAAGACAAAGUGCUCAACUUCUACAAGGGCUUUUGCAUUUCAGACUUGUUUUGACUUCUCCCUGCUGUGCUGCCCUCACUUCAGCUUCCCACGUGAGAGUGAUGUUCACGAAGGAACCUGUUGUUUUGACCCCAAAGCACCUGUAUCCCACCCUAGAACCACGUGGAAUGCCACAAGGGGCAUUGACGUAACUGUGCACAACACAACCAGAUAACUUGACUGUGCUCUUUUGUGACCUCCUCUCCUCACCCCUUCACUCUCUCUCUUCCCCCAACUAGAUGCCCUAAUUACUUGCUCUAGCCUUACAAAAGCGUAAGCAGAAGUUUCAAAGCAAAACCUUUAUUUCUGAGAGGGAAAGGCUUAAAGGUCCCCUGUGGACGCGCGGAAGUCUAGGGCCGUUCAUUACCUCCCACUCACACCACGGAAUUACAGUUUGCACAGCUGUGGAGCCAGCUGCCCUGCGUUUACUCCAGACCUCGCUCGCGCUGCCUUGCAGCAGGAGGCUUGUUAUAGGCUGAUCAGAAAGCUGCCUGUAUCCUGCUAAGACACUUCUUCAGUAGGAAAGUGACUUCCGUCGGCGUUGCGGUUAGAACAGAGUUGCUCUGCGUGGAAAACAGCAGUUCUUGAAACAGCUUCAUGUUGUUAAAGCUGUUCAACUGAAACGGAGCAGGCAGAAAGAAAAGUGUGCAUGCUGUCUGUUACUUGUACUGGAAUUUGUGCUGCAAGAGUUCCAGGAGCCUUGUUAGGGUCAAAAGACUUUUUCCUUAACCUUGGGCCCAUGACCUUGUAUGGGAAAUAUCUAUGAAGAUUUGGGAAUUGUCUGCGGUAUUACAUACAUGUGCUUCUUAAUGAGGGCACAGAAUCUUUGUAAGGUCCUAUGGUCUGGGAAUCCCUAUAGCAUUGCAUCCUCUCCAUCUCUCUAAUCAGUGUCACUGUCCAAGGUCAUUAGCUCCCUCUGCAAAUUGGGGAGAUGCAUAUGCCUACUGACAUGUCCAAGUUCCUGCUGGCCAACCAGCCCCUCAUCUUCCCCUCUUAAUAACCAUGGAGAAGUGACUCUUAAGUUCCCAUCAGUGCUACUCUUGCUAGUAAGCCAAACUGAACAUCAGAAAUGGUCAGCAGCUGCAUGAAGGCAAAUACCAGGAGCCACUGGGAUAUCAGAAGUACUUCCUUGGAGGUACAGAAGGCAAUUAUCAGACUUGAACCCCAAGGGGCUCCACAAGUCAACAGUGGCAGAAUCUCUUGGGAGCUUCCUAAAAAUGCAAGCAACUGAGCUACCACCCAGAUCUAUUGAUUCAAAAUCCAUGUUACAGCAAGAUGCUCCCAGAUUCUUAGAACACCACCGAGUUUAGGAAGUCCCUGAACUCUGCACAUGACUAUUGAUUUUCGUAACCCUCCUCUAGCUCAGCUUUCAUUAUAGCUUUUCUGUAUCUGCUCCAGUGUCUGUUGCUCAUGCCUUUCACCUAAAGAAGUAGCUACUUCUAUUGUUUAUUUGAUACUGCAUUCCUUGUAGUCUGAGCUCCCAGCCCUUUCUGGGUUAUAGACUCCUCUGGCUGUAGGAUCUUGAUGGCAUUAUCAUAGGAGGACAUGAGGAGUUCUGGCUAGAGUCCUUCUGUCACUUUCUGAAUGAACCACGUGGUCAUAAGAAAUCAUUGCCUCCUCCCUGUGCCAUAGUUUCUUCAUCUUUGUAGUGGUGUGUCUAGCAUUAAAGACAGAUACUUAGGAAAAUAUUUCAUGAAUGGCCAAGAACAGAAGGUCUAAAGAUGUCUCUUUGCCAUUACAGUUACCCACCCUACUAAACAAGAAGAAAGUCCAAGACCCUCAAUGGAUGCCUGAAGCCUCUUGUACUGACCUAUAUGUACUGCAUUUCCUCUAUAUGCAUGUCUAUAAUAAAGUUUAAUCCAUAAAUUAGGUAUAGUGAGGUAUCAACAAUGGCUGCUAAUAAAAUAGAACAAUUAUAAUAAUAUAGUAUGCUGGUGUAUACCUGCCUGACAUCUCAGAACUCAGGAAGAUAAGGCAGGAAGAGCCUGAAUUCCUGACCUUACAACAAGAUCCUAUCUCAAAUAAACAAAUCCAAUCCAACCAACCCAAAUAAAUAAGAGUCACUUGAACACAGUAGUCAAUCUUAUAAACAAUAGACACCAGGAGUUAACAGACAGGUAAUAUAUGCAUACAGUGGAUACACUAUGUGAAAGGAUGAUUCUUACUCAAGACAGGAUCAAGUGGAAUGGAAUAAGAUGUCAAGACCCUCAGAACAGCACACGAUUGAAAACUGAUUGAUCAUUCAGUUCUGGAACUCUCCACUUAAUAACUUCAGACAGUAUUUGACCUUGAGUAACUGAAAAACAGAAAGUCAAAACAGAUAAAGGGACAGCUUUAUAGUUAUUACAUGAAAGGACAGAUACUCUCUAGAGAGAGCACUGGAACUGGAGAAAAUCAGUCGGCUCUUCCUCUUCUGAUAGCUGGUCAGGAUACAGUAAGCUCUGCAUGGAUUUAAAUAGGUUUUUUUGCCCUCCAUUUCCCAGCCAAAAAAGUGAGGCUUUGACUAAAAUGUUCUAUGUGAUUAUUGCUGACUGAUCCUAUUGUGUAUUGCUUCCCAGAGGAAACCACCCUCUCUGGUGCCCAACAGAUGUUCUAUAAACAGUGAGAUGGUGGAGUAGCUGUACUCUAUGGAAUUUGUCCUAAACUUGGAGGCUAUCCCUUGAGACCAAUGCCGCUUCAUUGUUCCACUUCCCUGAAUGUUAAUCUCUUUUCAUUAGUGAGUCUUGGAUGCUGUGAUAGCUUUAUGCUACCUCUAUUCCAAAUCUUUGGCCCUCAGUGAGAUAUCCUCCAUUAAGUUUGCCUCACAACACAACAUGCUUGGUGUGAAUUGAGUCAAGUUGCAAAUCCCUCUGUGGUGUAAUGAAAAGAUUAAUUUUGAGCUUCAGUACUUUGUGUUUAUUCAGCCUGGUGACAACUGUCACUGCAAUGAUACAGUCUCCGAUGCAGACAACUAAAGAUCCCAUGCAAGGAGCCUGCUCUAAUUGCUUGGUUUUGAAUUAUCACUCUGUGGAGACACAUCCCCUGUGCAAUAACUUUUUUUGAAAUUUUAUGAGUUUAUUAAUAACCAAUAGACACUGCAUUUUCCCUCUAGAACAUUUUGUAGAGCCCCCUGAAGAAUGGAAUGAUGUUGUGAUAUAAGUGGUGCCUUUUCCCUUGGAUUUUGGAGCCUCCAGACUGCCCCUCCUGUCAUAUGGCCCUCAAAUUUCCGUUGCCUAUGAGAGACUCACACUUUGGAACUUUUGAUAUUAAAACUUAUCCAUUCUGAUCAUUCCUUCUGAAACAGCAAAUAUGACAUGUCAAUCUAUUCCUGAAUGUUCACUGAGUGCCAGUGGAACUACUGUUGCUUCGUUGUGAUUUUGAAAUGGAAAGGAAGAAAGUAAUCAACUGCAUAUUAUUGAAUGUAGCUUGGUAGGUGCAUGGGAGGCUGGAAGAAUUCAAUGCAGAAAUACCUGCAUAAAUAGUUCACCUUCUUCAAAAUUAAGAAUUAGAAAAAUCCUAUUCUACAUCCCUAACGAGAGACCAAAUGUGGGUCUCUUACGAAAUCAGAGAAAGGGGAAGGGGGCAUUCCAUUGCCCUUCAGUUGUUGGAUUUUUGUUGUUGUUGUUGUUGUUAUGUUUUUCUCUGUUUGAAAACCCUUUGUUACUUUUCUGGCCUAUGCUACAUCAUCAUAUAAUUUAAACAUAAAGUGAUAAGGAAAGCCUUUCUAUAAGAAAUGGAAUUCAGAUCCCUUUUCUGUGUGCAUGCUACUUCUACAAGGCCAUGGAGACAGUUGGCUUUUUCCAAUUUUCCAAAAAAAGGAACAUUCCCUGAAACUCAGUUUCCAAAGGCAAGAAUCCCUCCAAUACAAACAAGGAAAUAGAAGCAAGUUUAGCCAACACUGAAAAGGAAUCAAGGCAAAGGGGGAACAAGGAUAUUUAUUAACACUUACACGAGAAACUGGGAAGAUGAGAAACCCUCGGAAACGUGGCUAGCAUCCAAGAGAGAGAGAUUUGCUUUCUCUUCUCCUUUUGUCCUCACCUGACCCACGUGCCCUGUCCAUGCCCCUAAGGAGCAUGGACAGUAUCUUGGGAAUGUGAGAUUUCCCCUACACAACACACCUUCUCAUCCUUGCAGGUAGAAAAUAUUAUAUAAAGUGAGCACAGGGAUGCAUAUGUAUGAUUAGAUCUGGAACCUUCUAGAUGUCCUAUUUCAAGAGAGUUCAUGCCAGUUCAUAACUGGAACAGGACUGGCUCUUAGAAAGUCAGUAACUAUGGUAGUUUGGAUGUAAUUGGCCCCCGAAAGCUCAUCGGGAAGGGCACUAUUAGGAGGUGUGACUUUGUUGAAGUAGGUUUGGCCUUGUUGGAGGAAGUCUGUCACUGUGGAGGUGGGUUUGGUGGUCUCAUAUAUGUUCAAGCCCAUGCCCAAUGAGAAAGAUCACUUCCUGUUGUUUGCAAGUCAAAAUGUAGAAUACUGGGUUACUUCUCCAGGACCAUGUCUGCCUGUAUGCCACCAUGUCCCACUGUGAGGAUAAUUGACUAAACCUCUAAACCACAAGCCACCCAAUUAAAUGUUUUCCUUUGUAAGUGCUGCCAUGGUCAUGGUGUCUCUUCACAGCAAUAGAAACCUUGGCAGUAACCUUGGCAAUAGCAAAAAGAACCAACACAGAAGUCACUCACUUCAUCCCCCCUUCCAAUUUUGGAUAACUAAUAGCCUCAAAAGUAGGAUAAACAUCAUUCCCUUGUGGAAGACCUUUUAACAAUAUCCUUUCUUUUUGAGUUUUAAUGAAUGUAUGUCGUCUCCUGAACUUUUGCCUCUCAGAAUCUCAAGUUCUCUGUAAGGUAAAUGCAAUCAUUUCCUUUAGUCUUCUAGCUAGGUAAUUAAACUCUGGGUGUAGGGCUUAGGUUUCACAUCACAGAGAGAUAAAGCCUGAUUGGGUUUAUUCCCCAGGGAGAAUAGGCAUUGCUUUGAGACAUUGAGCUUUUGUUCAUGAGGAACUUGUGUUGUGUUACAUCACAGUUAGGAGACAUUUGACAGGGUUGUGUUGGCCCAUGAAAUCCUAGCAUUCGACUCUAAGAGUACUAUAUACUUUUCCAGAAACUAAUCUUAGUCUUUGCCCAUAUAAAUUGCAGUAACAGUGGUCUGGAAGAUAGACUUUCUUUUCUUUUGUUGUAAAAAUAUCUUCCAUCUCUUACUAACAAGCUAGAUCAAACAGAUGUACACAUAGGCAAAUGGCAAAAGAUGAUAUGAGACAGUAUUGUGAAAGAAGACCAAAUAGUACUUAUACACAGGGAGGGAAUGAGAGUUCUGCUUUGUAUUAACUGUGGUUAUCCCAUCUGGGCUUAGCUAUGGAAAGGGAAAUUGUGACUUUUAACAACCCAGAAAGACAAGUGUAUUUUAUAAUAUAAGAAUAAAGAGAUAAUGUAGA